AGCUGCGUGGCGCAGUGGAAGCGCGGUAAGUUCUCAAAACUCAACCCGAGUAGUUCGAACCACAUUACUAACUCUUUCUCCUCAGCCGGGCUCAUAACCCGGAGGUCCUCCGAUCGAAACGGAGCGCAGCUA